rnacentral:rRNA from 1 species
CCUACGGGCGGCAGCAGUGGGGGAUAUUGCACAAUGGGGGGAACCCUGAUGCAGCGACGCCGCGUGGGUGAAGGAGUGCUUCGGCAUGUAAAGCCCUAUCGGCAGGGAAGAAGCAAGACGGUACCUGACUAAGAAGCCCCGGCUAACUACGUGCCAGCAGCCGCGGUAAUACGUAGGGGGCGAGCGUUAUCCGGAUUCACUGGGUGUAAAGGGAGCGUAGACGGCCAUGCAAGCCAGGGGUGAAAGCCCGGGGCCCAACCCCGGGACUGCCCUUGGAACUGUGCGGCUAGAGUGCGGGAGGGGCAGGCGGAAUUCGUGGUGUAGCGGUGAAAUGCGUAGAUAUCAGGAGGAACACCGGCGGCGAAGGCGGCCUGCUGGACUGCGACUGACGUUGAGGCUCGAAAGCGUGGGGAGCGAACAGGAUUAGAUACCCCUGUAGUC